rnacentral:lncRNA from 1 species
GAGAAUUUUUCUUUUAUUUAUUUAUUUAUUUAUUUAUUUUUUCGUUUUUCGUUUUUUUUUUUGCAUAACACGUGGGCUUCGCCUAGCGAGCAUGACAGCUCAUGGACAAACCUUUACUCCUUCAAGAUUAACGUUUUGACUGACGAAUAGACCCCUGUUGGAAGUAACUCAAGUCUUUCUCUUGUGUUGACUGAUCAUC